rnacentral:rRNA from 1 species
UAAAGGGGACUGCCUGGGAUAACCAGGAGGAAGGCGGGGAUGACGUCAAGUCAGCAUGGCCCUUACGUCCAGGGCUACACACGUGCUACAAUGGCCGGUACAGAGGGAAGCAAUACCGCGAGGUGGAGCAAAUCCCAUAAAGCCGGCCUCAGUUCAGAUCGGAGGCUGCAACUCGCCUCCGUGAAGGCGGAAUCGCUAGUAAUCGCGGAUCAGCAGGCCGCGGUGAAUACGUUCCCGGGCCUU